GUAUGACGUGGUCUGGCCUCGGAGAAUCGCGGGGACUGAGAGAGGAGGAGGCGAGGCCCGGGGCGGGCAGGAUACCCGGCGGGACGCGCGCGCUCUGCAGCAGGUGACGGGCCCGCGGCCAAGUGGGCUCGGCUCGCCUCUCCUUGCCAGCUUCUGCCUCUCCUCGCGUCCCACCACGCCUCUUCCUCAGGUAGGGCUGCUAGUAUGCUCAGGAAAUGAUCGGUCUGUGCACACUCUAAAAGCCUUUUCCCUCCCUGUGCAAGUACAGGCGUGCACAUGCAUCUGCGUAUUAUCCUGUCUUCUUGGGAUGCGCACUAGAGUCCCUAAGAUGUUUAGUACUUGAUAUGCACAUUGUUUAUUCCCUAGAAAAACAUGUUCUUUGACUAGCUAAAACUGCCAUUUAGUUUCUGACCUCCCAUUUCAGGCAUUUGCUUUUAAUACCAUGAAUUAUUCUUCUGGUCCGUUAGCACGUUUUAACUAACUUUACACAUGGAUUGAACCAACCAGGCACCAGCUAUGGUAAGUGAUUUGGGAGUCUGGGCCACAUUCAGACUUACCUUGACCCUUGGAGAUGGAAGUGAGCAUCAGUCACUUGCCUUUUGUCACAGACGCAGCUGAGAUCAUCUGGAUUCAUCUGUCCCUGUUACCUGUUGCCACACUUCUCCUCUGUAUUGGGAUUGCUUAGUGCUGAGUCUGUGUCUACAAUUCCACAUGAAGAGUGCACCAAACUCAGGAGUAUCGAACACUCUCAGAUGGUUCAGUUUUAAGUUCUUGAGUCUUAUACCUACACCAUGAUUGCAACUGAAAGAAUCUCAAGUGUCUUGGCUUUCUAGGGCUGAUGUUCACAUCUUGAGUCAUUGUAGAGUCUCUGGAAUUAAUCCUUCAUCCUUCAGAAUUUCUUCAACCCUAAACAUCUUGGCUGCCUGGCUGGAGCUGAUCUCCCCAAAUAUCCACAUGUAAGACAGAUCUCUCCAUAGCUUCAAACUCAUAUUUCCAUUUCCACUUGGAUUUCAUAGAGACACCACCAACACAAUGCACCAAAAAUUCAACUGACAUCAGUCCCGUUGGAAACCUGUGGUUAACCUUGAUUCUUCCCACCUUGGGAAGCCUUGUUGACUUUGCCUUCAACAUGUGUAAGAUGUCUUUCCCUUCUAUCCUUCUAUUGGUCCCUAGUUGGAUCUUCAAUAUCUCUUCUUGUCCGUAACCUAUAAGAGCCUCCUCUAGUUCCCUUGUCUUCAAAAUUGGCCAUCAAAGCAUUCUCAAUACAGCGAAGUUUAUGGCUUAAAAUAUAAAACAUCUUUUCCUCCUUAAAAUUUCCCAGUUUUUAACCUUCUCUUUCUUUUCCUAACAUAUAUGUCUAACCAUACAUAUUUCCCUCUAAGCACUGUUCUAGUUGCAUGUUGUCCUUUCAUUCUUUUAGUUAGAAUAUUUUCUAGUUUUGAUUAUACUUUUACUUUGAUUUGUGGGUUAGUUAGAAGUAUGAUGCUGAAGUUUCCCUAUAUCUGAGAAUUUUCUAUUUAUCUUUUUGUUAUUGACUUCUAGUUUAAUUCUGUUAUCAGAAAAUAUUUUUUUAAUUAUUUUAAUCCUUUAAAAAGUUUUGAGACUUGCUUGAUGGUUCUGUUUUGGUGAAUUUUUCAUGUGAACUUGAAAAUAAUGUGUAUUCUGCAUUAGUUACGUAGUGUCGUAUAAGUGCUAACUAGGUUAAGUUGAUUAAUUACUAGCUAUGGUUCAAAUCUUCUGUAUCCAACUUAUUUCCCCUUUUCUUUCAGCUUCUCAUCACCUACUCAAACGGGCCUUUAAAAUCACCAACCAUAGUUGUGGUUGUUCUAUUUCUUGUUUGAUUUUCUCAGUUUUGUUUCAUAAAAAUUAAUAAUUCUUGGUGAAUUAAUCAUUUUAUAGUUAUUGAAUGUUUUUCUUUAUCUUUGGUCUUUUUACCUUGGGGUCUAUUCUGUCUGAUAUUGAUAUAUCCACACCAGCUUUCUAAUGGUUGGUGUUUUCAAGGUAUAUCUUCCCUCACCAUACUACUUACAACCUGUCAUCUUUAAUCCUGUUAUGUGUCUCCUGUAAGCAGGGUACCAUUGACUCCUGUUUUUCUUUGUUUUAUUUUACUAUUUAGCCUGCCAAUCUCUGCCUUUUAAUUAUGUAUAUAUCUCAUUUACAUUAAUGCAAUUAUUGAUAUUUGGAUUUAAGUUCAUCAUCAAGUUACUUGUUUUCCAUUUAUCCCACUUUUUUGUUCCUUUUUUUCUGCUUUUCUUUGAAUUAAUAUUUAUUAUUCCAUUUAACCUUUGUUUGGCCUAAAAUGCAUUAUCUUUUCCCUCCAGCUGCUGUUAAGAUUUUUUUAAUCUUUGGUUUUCAAUCAUUUCAAUAUAAUUUGGGUAGUUAUGAUUUUCUUCAUAGGUUAUCCUGGCUGCCAUUUGCUGAGUUUAUUGAAUCAAUGAGUUGAUGUGACUUUUUUUUCAUUGAUCUGUGUCCUUAAGAUUAGUACAUUUUAAUUAUGUAAAUUACACUUUGAUUUUAAAAAAAAAGAAAUCCUUCACUGAUGACAUCUACACUCCAAAAUUAAUGGUUAGGCUCCAACUCCUCUCCUCAUAUUCAGGUUAAAAUAUACCUUCCCUUCUUUGGAAGGUACAUCCCAUGUUUUCUCUGACCUGGCCCACAUAUUCUCAUUUAAUCUCAUUUAUUUCCAUGCCCUGCUUCAAAUCCUUGGAUAUCCUGCUGUUACCAACAUCAUGCCCACUCCAUUCAGUUCCCAAUGACAAAGCCCCCUUUCUAACUCUCUGCAUCAUACUUCCAUUGUUCUCUAUUAAUCUUCGAAGUCUUAGAUCUGGUGUCAUUUUCUCUAGAGGGCCUUCAAGGGCACUGGGGUAGCCUCCAAUUUUCCGGUUGUCCUAAACAGGCUUCUCUGAACAUUAUGGUAGAUAUAUUUGGCGAAUGCAUUUCUACUGGUAAGAUAGUGUUAACUUCAUCAAAAGAAAUCCUUCCAGGAAAAAGACAUGGGGCAUCAAGACAUAUUUACUUUUAUCUAAAUGCUCAUCUUACAUCUGGUUUCUGUAGUGUAGUGGCUAUCCCAUUUGCCUAACAUGCAAAAGGUUCCUGGUUUGAAACCAGGCAGAAACACAUUGUCCUUCUUGCUUCUGUAUUUGUUUCCUUUAGGACAUGAACUGGUCCUUUCUUUUGGGGUCUCACACAUAAAAACAAACACAAAUAUUUGCCGCCCUGAAAUAUGCCACGUUAGCUUAAGAAUGAUGUUGAGCUGAGAGCAUUUGAGGAAGAGCAAGCAGGAAGGGCUCUCUGAGGAAAAGCAGGGCAUCCCUGUCUGGUUGUGAAGGUGUUGCCUCCCAGCUCUCCUACCAGAGAAACAAAUCCUGCUAAAAUAACCCAGCUUCCACUAGUUUCCCCAUAUAUUUACCUUCCCAUAAAAUGUUCCCCCUACAAGUCCAAACUCUCCUUUUCUUUGUCUACCCACUUCCCUUUGUAUCACCCUUUACUAAAAUGAUUUAAAAGCUUUCAAUUCUAACUUCUUUGGGUUCUCUUCUCUUUUCUGUGAAGCCUUCAUGCAUGUAAAAUUAAAAUAAAAAAUAUACACAUUGACAAUAUUUGUAAACUUUUUCUCCUGCUACACUGUCCUUUGUUAGUUGAACUCAUAUUCCCCAGAAUAGAGGAAGAAUUCUUCCUCCUUACAUAUGGAAAUUGUGAGAAGGAUCAGGGCUUUGGGUAAUUUGAAUAAAAUACACACAUAUCCAAAAAGAUGUUAAGGAAUAGCAUGUAAUGUGGAGCCAGGAGUACUUGCAUUUGAACCAUAAUUCACAUGGUUUCACACAAAAUAAAUAAGUUACAUGGUGUGUUAAAGGAUCAUGAGCAGUACGGAGAAAAAUAAAGCAAAGAAUGAGGAGAAGCACUGGAAUGAGGGAAGUGUAUGACUUAGAUAUAAUGUUCAGACUGGGUUUCCUGAUAUGUUGAUAUUUGAGAAAACACCUGAAGUAGGUAAGGGGCUGGGUCAUACAUAUAUCUAAGCAAGAAUAUCCCAGCAGAGGGAACAGUCAGUGCAAAGUCCCUGAAACAGUAAUGUGCCUGAUAUAUGCCAUGAAGAACAAGAAGGCCAACAGCAAGUGCAGCAGAGUAAGCAAGGGGCACAGUGGGAGAAAAGAGAUCUUGGGCAGCUCAGCAGCCUAAG